rnacentral:lncRNA from 1 species
AAUUAUAAUUUUCCUAAACUCAUGAAUAUAUCUUUUCUCUGCAGCUACUAUUAAAUCUAGGGGAAUAGAAUUGAAAGAUAAUCAUUUUGACCCAUCUAUCUGAAAAGCAUGAAAAAUUUCUCAGGUGUUAACUCAGCUUAUGUGACUACAUUCAAGCUCUGCCUGCCUGCAAGCAUUAGGGCUCUUUCCACUCCCCAUUGAGAGAAUCGCCACUAUCCCACUAUCUUAAGACAAGCCUGAAGAAGUAGGAUCAUGGAGCUCCAAGGAAGACUUCCUCAAGAAAGUGUGGAGCCAAGAAGGACAAUGGAGAACAAUUAUAAAGGAUUAUCAGCUGAUGAAAUGUUAUCUUUUUGAUUUUCAAGUCAUGUGUAUAUGGUACUGUUAAAUACAAUUAUAAUGAAAGUAAGUAGCCUGGUCUACCUGCUUUAGAUAUUUGAUAAUCAACAAGGAAUAAUAUUCAAAAUAUGUAGC